GUAAAAAACUUUGGUCUCAUUACUCAGUCUCCCAAAAGCAAUAUCUUUUUGGAAGGUCCAAGUGUUUUUUAUAACCAUUAAAUAUACAAAAGCAACAUUUCUCAUUCCCAUCCCCCAUUCAGACUUAUACACUAAUUAAUAAGUGGAAGUUUGGAAGCUGACUCAAACAGAGUUCUGAUUUCUCUGCAAAACCCCAUCAGUUUUGUCUCCUUGUCUCUCUCCUUUGUCCCAGCUGCGUCCGCUUAUAACUCCAGUUUCUCCCACAUAUCCUCCCUUCUUAUAUUUAUUUUCAUAUUCCCAAGAACAUAUUCUGUUUUCUUUGCAAGUGACAUAAUUUCUGAGGGGCAAGGGACAGCAUGAAGAGUGACUGGCUUGAAACAACAUGCUUUUGACUGCGAGCCAGGAGGCCAAAGGCAGAGGAGCCAUUUUGACGCCAAAAACAAGAUGAAUCUGGAUGGAAUCAGCAAACACGGAAUAUGAUAACACCAGGGUCAGCCAGGAAAAGAUGGUGCGUGCAAGCCUCAGUUGUCCUGUGUGUGGCAAUAGACAUCCUACCCAUCCUGUGGUUGGGCAGCCAGGCAAGAGCUCUGGGAAAGGCAGCGUUCUUCCUCUGAGGAAUAAAGCAAAGAGAUGGAAGGACUGUUUGCACCACAGCUUGGAACUCCACAAAUGAAAGCUCUUCCAGGCACUGAUCAACCCACAUUUUAAGAGGUAUUCAGUACUUCAAAGAUGCCAGCUGAGC